GACGAACGCUGGCGGCGUGCUUAACACAUGCAAGUCGAACGGAAAGGCCUGCUUUCCCUUGUGGAUUGCGGGUACUCGAGUGGCGAACGGGUGAGUAACACGUGAGUGAUCUGCCCCCAACUUGGGUAUAAGCCUGGGAAACUGGGUCUAAUUCCCGAUAGGACUGCAGGGUGGUGCCUGUGGUGGAAAACGAUUUUCUAGUGGUUGGGGAUGAGCUCGCGGCCUAUCAGCUUGUUGGUGGGGUAAUGGCCUACCAAGGCGGCGACGGGUAGCCGGGCUGGAGGGGUGGACGGGCACAUUGGGAGUGAGAAACGGGCCAGAGUCCUACGGGAGGCAGCAGUGGGGAAUAUUGCACAAUGGGCGGAAGCCUGAUGCAGCGACGCCGCGUGGGGGAUGACGGCCUUCGGGUUGUAAACUCCUUUCGACCGCGAGGAAGCCACCUGGUUGGAAGGGUGGUGACGGUAGUGGUAGAAGAAGCACCGGCUAACUACGUG
rnacentral:rRNA from 1 species